GACGAACGCUGGCGGCGUGCUUAACACAUGCAAGUCGAACGGAAAGGCCCUGCUUUUGUGGGGUGCUCGAGUGGCGAACGGGUGAGUAACACGUGAGUAACCUGCCCUUGACUUUGGGAUAACUUCAGGAAACUGGGGCUAAUACCGGAUAGGAGCUCCUGCUGCAUGGUGGGGGUUGGAAAGUUUCGGCGGUUGGGGAUGGACUCGCGGCUUAUCAGCUUGUUGGUGGGGUAGUGGCUUACCAAGGCUUUGACGGGUAGCCGGCCUGAGAGGGUGACCGGCAAAAUGGGGACUGGGAUACGGCCCAGACUCCUACGGGGGGGAGGGGUGGGGAAUAUUGCACAAGGGGCGGAAGCCUGAUGCAGCAACGCCGCGGGCGGGAAGGGGGCCUUCGGGUGGUAAACCGCUUUCGCCUGGGACGAAGCGGGGGGGACGGUAAUGGGAAAAGAAGCACCGGCUAACUACGU
rnacentral:rRNA from 1 species